rnacentral:rRNA from 1 species
GUGCCAGCCGCCGCGGUAAAACGUAGGAGGCAAGCGUUAUCCGGAUUUACUGGGCGUAAAGCGCGUGCAGGCGGCUUGGCAAGUUGGAUGUGAAAGCUCCCGGCUCAACUGGGAGAGGUCGUUCAAGACUGCCAGGCUGGAGGAUGGUAGAGGGAGGUGGAAUUCCGGGUGUAGUGGUGAAAUGCGUAGAUAUCCGGAGGAACACCAGUGGCGAAAGCGGCCUUCUGGACCAAUCCUGACGCUCAGACGCGAAAGCUAGGGUAGCAAACGGGAUUAGAAACCCCGGUAGUCC